UACGUAGGGGGCAAGCGGUUGUCCGGAUUUAUUGGGCGUAAAGAGCGUGUAGGCGGUUAGGUAGGUCCGUUGUGAAAACUCGAGGCUCAACCUCGAGACGCCGAUGGAAACCAUCUAACUAGAGUCCGGAAGAGGAGAGUGGAAUUCCUGGUGUAGCGGUGAAAUGCGCAGAUAUCAGGAAGAACACCCGUGGCUAAGGCGGCUCUCUAGUACGGUACUGACGCUGAGACGCGAAAGCGUGGGGAGCGAACAGG
rnacentral:rRNA from 1 species